CCCUCUUCUUAGCCUUUUGGCUAAGAUCGAGUGUAGUAUCAGUUAUCAGUUAAAUAUCUGAUACUUCCUCUAUCUGAAUGGAUUUUUGGAGCUGUCAAUGAAUCUGAACUUUU
rnacentral:snRNA from 1 species